rnacentral:rRNA from 1 species
AGACAGCAGUAGCCGCGGGAAUACGGAGGGUGCAAGCGUUAAUCGGAAUUACUGGGCGUAAAGCGCACGCAGGCGGUCUGACAAGUCAGAUGUGAAAUCCCCGGGCUUAACCUGGGAACUGCAUUUGAAACUGUCAGGCUGGAGUCUUGUAGAGGGGGGUGGAAUUCCAGGUGUAGCGGUGAAAUGCGUAGAGAUCUGGAGGAAUACCGGUGGCGAAGGCGGCCCCCUGGACAAAGACUGACGCUCAGGUGCGAAAGCGUGGGGAGCAAACAGGAUUAGAGACCCGCGUAGUCCCUGUCUCUUAUAC